ACAGGCCCCGAACCAGUCAGAGAAGACAGUUCGGCUCCAUAUGGAGAAUUCUUUUCCCUCCUAACGGAAUAAAAGAGAAAAGAUGCUUGAGGAAAAUCCUGGCAAAAAUGAUAACCCAGUUUUGAUUAACAUUAGCCACAGGAAUGAAAAGGGAGACCAUUGUGAAAGUAAGAAGGACCCUCUUAAAAUCUCAAAGGUGACAACACACAGUCAGUCUCACUCGAGUGGCAAGAGCAUCCCAAACUUCAGCACAGAGCUUGACAGGAUAGGUGAGCUCCCGGGCCCGGACACCAAGGGUAACCUCACUAUGUGGUAAUCACCAGGAUGGAAGAGAACUGGGACUUAGUUGGCACAAGGAGAAAAGGAG
rnacentral:lncRNA from 1 species